ensembl:lncRNA
AACUCCCUGAGAGGACAUGAGGAAGACACCUUGACAGGAACCAGACUCAUCUGGGUGACACUGGACACCAAAUUGUGAUGGCUGGACGUUGUGUCAGAGCAUGUGGGGUGUUCACAGUAUGCAGUGGUUGGGACCUACCAAAGGUGGUCCAAAAAGGGACUUUUGAUGCAUGUGGGGAGUGAAGGCUAGCCUGUAUCACCCGAUUCCACAGAAGAGCUCCUAUAACACAAGUUGCUAAAAAAAAAAAGUUAAUGCUGGCUGUGAUAGAAAGGUGUCAGAACACACAGUUUAUUGCAGCUUGCUGUGUAAGGGGCUGAGUAAUGCCACACCAGUCAAAGUGCCCAUGCUGACCCCUGUCCAUCGCUGAAAGCACCUACAAUGGACACGUGAGUAUCAGAACUGGACCAUGAAGCAGUGGAAGAAGGGGACCUGGUCUGAUGAAUCACAUUUUCUUUUUACAUCGUGUGGACGGCAAAGUGUGUGUACGUCGCUUACCUGGGGAAAUGAUGGCACCAGGAUGCACUAUGGGAAGAAGGCAAGCCGGGGGAGGCAGUGUGAUGCUCUGUGCAGUGUUCUGCUGGGAAACUUUGGGUCCUGGCAUUCAUGUGGAUGUUACUUUGACACAUAUCACUUACCUAUUGUAAACAUUGCUGCAGACCAAAUACACCUGUUCAUGGUAGUUGUAUUCCCUAAUGGCAGUGGCCUCUUUCAGCAGGAUAAUGUGCCCUGCCACACUGCAAAAAUUGUUCAGGAGUGGUUUGAGGAACAUGACAAGUUGAGCUUAAGUUGUUGAUUUGGCCACCAAAUUCCCCAGAUCUCAAUCUGACCAAGCAUCUGUGGAAUGUGCUGAACAAAUAAAUCCGAUCUACGGAAGCCCCACCUCGCAACUUUCAGGACUUAGAGGAUCUGCUGCUAACGUCUUGGUGCCAGAUACCACAGCACACCUUCAGAAGUCUUGUGGAGUGCGUGCCUCGACGGGUUAGAGCUGUUUUUUUGGGGCCACAAUGGGGACCUACACAAUAUUAGUGCUGUGACUGUGAGAACCCUAAAAUCUGCAUAAGCAGUCAGCAUGUCACAUCCUGGGGCUAUGGGAACAAUACAGCCGCAAAGGAAAGGGACUGGCAGCACCAGGAUAUCCCAUCCCAGUUACUGCACCCUCUUCCUGAUGAGUUUUCCAGCAGCAUCCAGUUAGAGGACAAGGAGGUCAGGCUACCAUGUCCUUCCAAACUCUUCUAUCACCUGUGGUAGAGCACUUUAUACGUGACAGUUUAAGCAUUGGCACCAACCACAAAUCAGUGCAACAUAAUGUUUUAAUAAUAAUAAUAUAUUAGACAAAACAAAAUCAAAUCAAUGAAAGCAAUUUAUAUACUAUACACUGAUAUGGAAACUGCCACCCCGUCCAGGGUGUACCCUGCCCUGCCGAUGCUCCCUGGGAUAG